rnacentral:rRNA from 1 species
CCUACGGGUGGCAGCAGUGGGGAAUUUUGGGCAAUGGCCGAAAGGCUGACCCAGCGACGCCGCGUGCGGGAGGACGCCCUUCGGGGUGUAAACCGCUGUCAGAGGGGACGAAUGACUCAUGUGGGAAUACUGCAUGGGUGUGACGGUACCCUCAGAGGAAGCACCGGCUAACUCUGUGCCAGCAGCCGCGGUAAUACAGAGGGUGCGAGCGUUGUUCGGAAUCACUGGGCGUAAAGCGCGCGCAGGCGGGACCUGCAAGUCGGAAGUGAAAGGCCGGGGCUCAACCCCGGAGCGGCUUUCGAGACUGCGGACCUGGAGACCAGUAGGGGUUGGUGGAAUUCCCGGUGUAGCGGUGGAAUGCGUAGAGAUCGGGAAGAACACCCGUGGCGAAGGCGGCCAACUGGGCUGGAUCUGACGCUGAGGCGCGAAAGCGUGGGGAG